GGGGCGAGAGGAAGAACAAGGGCUGGAGGUGGCCCCAGCACUCCCUUGCUUCUCCCAGCCGCGCCCUGCUCAGGCCAGGACUGGGCACAGGGGCCACCCCAGAGCGCUUCGCUGGGGGACCCCACAGCCCGUGCACAGCUGGGCAGAGCUGCCCUGCCAGGCCCCCUUGCAGCUGGGGGCACACGCUGGGCAUCCUUCCUCACCUGAAAAGCCACUCCAUCUCUGCAGUCCUCCAGCAGCUGGGCGCAGACCUGCAGGGCCCUCUUGCACACCCACGGCUUGUCCGAGGAGAGCCAGAACCACAGCACCUGGGGCAGAGCAGCUCUGUCUGCCAAGGGGCAUCUUUCCCUUCCCGCCAUCCCUCUCCAUUUCCCUCCCCUCCCUUCCUGGCACUUGCCCUGAGGGCCUGCCCUGCGGCACUGCCCCACUCUCUUCAGAUGCACCUGCUCCCACCCAGGAGCUUUUCCCUGCAGCCAGCUCCCUGCUGCAGCCAGCCAGGGGCUGCCUCUUGGCUUUCCCCCCUGCAGGGCCCACUUCUUGGCCUCCAGCACCCCAUGGAUACUCACCCCGGCGAUGUCUACAAAGUCCACAGGGCUUGGCUUUGUCUUCAGCAGGACUGCCAUGAGCCGGCCCAGAGCCUUCGUGGCCAUGUGCAGGGACUGAAAGCGGAGGAGAGGGACGGAGAUGCAGGAUCACGGCUGCUGCCAGCACACAGCUUGUGCUGGGAAGGGACAGCAAGUUACCUGGAGCUGCAGCACUGCCUGCUCUGCGUUCCUGAUCUUCCCAAUCUGCUCAGCCGCUGAGGGAAGUGGCAGGAUGGCCUGGCAGCAGUCAGACAGCAGGCUGAAAAUUUCCUCGCUGCUGAACGAGGUCUCCAGCUUGCUGGCAAGGGGAAAAAACAAGACGAGGGAAAAAAAAUAUAAGAGGAGUUCCUAGCGCUCUGCAGAGAGGGUCACAUGGCAUCUGGGCUUGUCCUCAUCAACAGCCCCAAAUCCAGCCAGCCUAGGCUGUGUCAGGGAAUGCUGCUCUUUGGGAGCUCCCCGACAGGAGGAACAUCAUCCCGCCUCACAGCCCCCGCAGCUCCUCGCUCUUACCUCCACUGCU
rnacentral:lncRNA from 1 species